ACAGAGGUCCCGGGCGUUGUUCGGAUUCACUGGGCGUAAAGGGUGCGUAGGCGGCUUAGCAAGUCUGAUGUGAAAGCCCGGGGCUCACCCCCGGAAGUGCAUUGGAUACUGGCGGACUCGAGUCCCGGAGAGGAGGGUGGAAUUCCUGGUGUAGCGGUGAAAUGCGUAGAUAUCAGGAGGAACACCGGUGGCGAAGGCGGCAUCCUGGACCGGCAUUGACGCUGAGGCGCGAAAGCCAGGGGAGCAAACGGGA
rnacentral:rRNA from 1 species